UCAAAUCUUCUCAACCCUCUCCCUGAUCCUUUUAGAUCCUUCAGUUGGGACACAGCUUUCAUACAUCAUAUUUCCUGGCAUACUGGUCUCCAUGGCACUGGGCAGAUGAGUGACUCUGUGACUCCUCUGUCCUUCAACUGAGGAAUUCAAAGUGGAUAUGAAGCUGCAAUCCCCAUGUUCCCUGGGUGCUCUACUGGCCAUGAAUUACAGUGACGAGUGACUCACUCAUAAUCUAUCCAUUCAUGCCUCAGCCAACAACUUGAUUUGUCAAGAGAAUAGCCCUGCAAGCUGCCAAUAGAAUUGAUGUCCAUUGAAGAAGUAUAAUUAAACCCUCAGUGAGCUAAUUUAUUUUUCUUUUAUAACAACUUUAGGUAUAUGAACACAAAAUAUGAGACACUGAUAAGGCAGUAAGAUUCUUUGCCCUUUCUAAAUUUGUAGCUAAUCUUUUACCUUCUUUUAAAAUCAUAUAAACAUUUUUCAAAAACCUG